rnacentral:rRNA from 1 species
GGAGGGAUCAUUACACAAAUAUGAAGGCGGGCUGGAAUCUCUCGGGGUUACAGCCUUGCUGAAUUAUUCACCCUUGUCUUUUGCGUACUUCUUGUUUCCUUGGUGGGUUCGCCCACCACUAGGACAAACAUAAACCUUUUGUAAUUGCAAUCAGCGUCAGUAACAAAUUAAUAAUUACAACUUUCAACAACGGAUCUCUUGGUUCUGGCAUCGAUGAAGAACGCAGCGAAAUGCGAUAAGUAGUGUGAAUUGCAGAAUUCAGUGAAUCAUCGAAUCUUUGAACGCACAUUGCGCCCUUUGGUAUUCCAAAGGGCAUGCCUGUUCGAGCGUCAUUUGUACCCUCAAGCUUUGCUUGGUGUUGGGCGUCUUGUCUCUAGCUUUGCUGGAGACUCGCCUUAAAGUAAUUGGCAGCCGGCCUACUGGUUUCGGAGCGCAGCACAAGUCGCACUCUCUAUCAGCAAAGGUCUAGCAUCCAUUAAGCCUUUUUUCAACUUUUGACCUCGGAUCAGGUAGGGAUACCCGCUGAACUUAAGCAUAUCAAUAAGCGGAGGAAAAGAAACCAAC